CUCUUACCCUAUAGGUCCUAUAGGUUCUCCUCUUACCCUAUAGGUUCUCCUCUUACCCUAUAGGUUCUCCUCUUACCCUAUAUGCCCUAUAGGUUCUUCUCUUACCCUAUAGGUUCUCCUCUUACCCUAUAGGUUCUCCUCUUACCCUAUAUGUCCUAUAGGUUCUUCUCUUACCCUAUAGGUUCUCCUCUUACC